rnacentral:lncRNA from 1 species
CACUGAUUUGUGUCCCCUCCCCAUUUAUUCUCUGUUUUUGGGGCGGGGGUCCCGACUGAUUUACCCCUCCCCCGUUUAUUCUCUCUCUCAUUUUGAGGAGGGGUCUCUCCUGCAUUUUCCCCCCCAUUUCUCAUUUUGGGGAGGGGUCCCGCACUGAUUUACCCCUCCCCCCAUUUUUCUCUCUCAUUUUGGGGAGGGGUUCCCCUGUUUCCCACCCCCCAUUUCUCAUUUUGAGGAGGGGUCUCCCCAUUUCUCUCUCUCAUUUUGAGGAGGGGUCUCCCCAUGUCUCCCCCCCCAGCCCUACGAGCUUCCGGACGGUUCCAUCGCCGUCAGCAUCCGGAACCAGAACCAGUUCCGGUGCCGGUGCCGGAUGGUGGCGCGGAGCUGGGACGGGGGGGAGACGCUGCCCCCGGCCGCCGUGACCUUUGACCCCGCGCUGCCCGACCCGGCCGUGGCCGCGGGGGCCGCGGUCACCCAGGGGCUGCUCCUGUUCAGUAACCCCGCCCACGAGAGCCUGCG